rnacentral:lncRNA from 10 species
AUUUUCUUGGGGAAGUGUGGCCUGGGGUUAUUUUUGCACUGGGUGGCAGGUUUGACUUCAAUCUUCACACAUGCUGCCUGGGGGUAGGGAUUUAUUCCGGCAAAUAGCAAAGAGCAGGUCUCUAACAAUUCUUGUAACAAAAACUUUCACAUUGGAGCUGUAACGUUUUGGGUUCUUCUGGUUAACUUGAAUACGUCUGUGUGACCCAGCUGGUCACCUUGUUUUUCCUCUAAGGUCCGUAAGUCAACCACUGAAACCACUGAGAGUCAUCGAUGGAAAUUGCCAGUGUUUGCAAAAUGUCUCUGAGAAAGAAAUCUUACCUUUUAACUCUUCCUAAAGUAAAACGAAUGAGCUUCAUUCCGUUCCCACCUUGUCUGAGUAUGAAAAUUCAGCUUAGCAAAAUGCUAACCCUCACCUUGGUGGGAUCAGACACUUUGUGCCCCAGGAGGUAUCACAGGAAAGCUGCUUUUGGGGGAGCUCUGGCUGGCAAAGCAUGGAAGAGCAUGCAGGACACUGCUCCCUUCUUCCAGGCAGGCAGGGUGUGAGGGAUGAGAUCAGCUUUCCUGACUAGAGAUCUAAUUUAAAUAAUGGCGGAUUUAUAUAAUAGCAGAUUCAUUUGCUGUCUCUAGAUCAAGAUUGCCAGAAACUGUAAGGGAAACGUGGGCAUCCCUUCGGAACUGAAAUGGAGAGGGACUUCCUACACUCUUUAUCCCAGGGCAAGAGGUCAUGGGCGGGGUAGGAACAGUCCUGACUGGUAAACUCUUCCAGCCUGAUGCUCAUGGAUUUCUAGUGAAGACCACUCCUGAGACAGCCAGGUGGGAAGGUGGUCCCUGGAAAAACUCCAACCAGCAUGCGCACUGAGAAGGCGCACUGAGGUGGAGUCACAGAAGUUCCCGCCAUUUGCAAUGGGGAGGAGCCUGACUCCUCCUCUUCCUGUGUGGAACCUGGGAUUCAAACUGCGAGACAGUCCUGCAAUACUACCAUCUUGGAUAACCUCUUUCAAAUCUUUGUAAUUUGAAAAUUUUAAAAGUUAUUGAAUUCAUUUUGUUCUUUGUUUGUGUGUUUGUUUCCUCAGAGAAAGGAAGCCUAUUUAAUGCCAUGUGAAGGCCUCACUCUUUCUUCCUAGUCUUGCU